CAGGUAACGCAGCACUGGGGAGACAGGGGUUGUCCUAGCAGAGAUGCUUUGAUGAGAAGAGGCUACAUUAAUGAACAAGCAGCGAGAAUUCACUGACUUUCUGCUGUGAUAUAGUCAUAUAUGGGUUAACCUGGCUGGUGCCUGCCUCCAGCUUCUCACUGCCAUAACCAUCACCACCAGGCACUG